rnacentral:rRNA from 1 species
UUUGAUGGCGACGGCGCACGGGUGAGUAACACGUAUCCAACCUGCCGAUGACUCGGGGAUAGCCUUUCGAAAGAAAGAUUAAUACCCGAUGGCAUAGUUCUUCCGCAUGGUAGAACUAUUAAAGAAUUUCGGUCAUCGAUGGGGAUGCGUUCCAUUAGGUUGUUGGCGGGGUAACGGCCCACCAAGCCUUCGAUGGAUAGGGGUUCUGAGAGGAAGGUCCCCCACAUUGGAACUGAGACACGGUCCAAACUCCUACGGGAGGCAGCAUG